GAUGAAGAACGCAGCGAAAUGCGAUAAGUAAUGUGAAUUGCAGAAUUCAGUGAAUCAUCGAAUCUUUGAACGCACAUUGCGCCCCCUGGUAUUCCGGGGGGCAUGCCUGUUCGAGCGUCAUUUCACCACUCAAGCCUCGCUUGGUAUUGGGCAACGCGGUCCGCCGCGUGCCUCAAAUCGACCGGCUGGGUCUUCUGUCCCCUAAGCGUUGUGGAAACUAUUCGCUAAAGGGUGUUCGGGAGGCUACGCCGUAAAACAACCCCAUUUCUAAGGUUGACCUCGGAUCAGGUAGGGAUACCCGCUGAACUUAAGCAUAUCAAUAACCGGAGGA
rnacentral:misc_RNA from 1 species